AACAUACAACAGUAGGGAUUCGCAUGUGGUCACCCACCAUACUACUAACCUACCGGCGUGUGGCUUAAGUACGGCUGAGCGGACGGGAAGCCCUGUUCUCCACACCCUAUGGUCGUAUGU
rnacentral:rRNA from 1 species